AGAUCAUUAACAGGCCAGAAACUGAGCCCUCCCUUCCCAAUGGGAAAUAAAGAGGACAAAGAAAGGGAAUGCACAUUAGUGACCAAGCCCAAGGCAAGUUCAUGAGCUCUGCUUCUUCUUUUUGCAUAUAAGGACAGCCUGAAACUCAAACACAGGCAUCACCAAAUCCAUCUCAGAUGAACUCAGAGUGGCUUCUGGAUACUGCAUGUCUAUGUCUGUCUUCUUACCAAAACAACAACACAACUCAGACUCAUUCCUUCAUAGUUGAAUCACGUCAUCAGGAAGACAAAUAGUUCUUUUCUUGUACUGGAAUCAUCAGUGGUGAUUUUUCCUGUGUUGGACAGCAAAUCCCAGCAGCAGAGCCCAUGGUAAAGCCUCAUGGGAUAUGUAGUCUCAUGUUGCCAAUGUGAGAUUAUAGAUCUCUAAGGAAACAUUCAUACUUUAUCCUGAUGCU